AGUGAACGCUGGCGGUAGGCCUAACACAUGCAAGUCGAACGGCAGCACAGUAAGAGCUUGCUCUUACGGGUGGCGAGUGGCGGACGGGUGAGGAAUACAUCGGAAUCUACUUUUUCGUGGGGGAUAACGUAGGGAAACUUACGCUGAUACCGCAUACGACCUACGGGUGAAAGCAGGGGAUCUUCGGACCUUGCGCGAUUGAAUGAGCCGAUGUCGGAUUAGCUAGUUGGCGGGGUAAAGGCCCACCAAGGCGACGAUCCGUAGCUGGUCUGAGAGGAUGAGCAGCCACACUGGAACUGAGACACGGUCCAGACUCCUACGGGAGGCAGCAGUGGGGAAUAUUGGACAAUGGGCGCAAGCCUGAUCCAGCCAUACCGCGUGGGUGAAGAAGGCCUUCGGGUUGUAAAGCCCUUUUGUUGGGAAAGAAAAGCAGCAGGUUAAUACCCCGCUGUUCUGACGGUACCCAAAGAAUAAGCACCGGCUAACUUCGUG
rnacentral:rRNA from 1 species